rnacentral:misc_RNA from 1 species
GGCUCGACUUAUUUCCUUUUCUCCUGACUUUGAAGCCAAAAAGCUGCUAGAUAAUUUGAACAGUAACCCAUAGCAAACUAAUGAAGAGUUGAGGACUUGAAGUAGUUAGCUUUAGUUUAAAAAAUGAUUUGACUGUGCUCUGACCUUAUUAAAGUUUUAAGUAAAAUGUAAGCGUCACUUGUAUUCGUCACAAAGUUAUUCAAGGUUUUAAAACUG